rnacentral:rRNA from 1 species
GACGAACGCUGGCGGCGCUCCUAACACAUGCAAGUCGAACGAGCGAGAGAGAGCUUGCUUUCUCGAGCGAGUGGCGAACGGGUGAGUAACGCGUGAGGAACCUGCCUCAAAGAGGGGGACAACAGUUGGAAACGACUGCUAAUACCGCAUAAGCCCACAGCUCGGCAUCGAGCAGAGGGAAAAGGAGUGAUCCGCUUUGAGAUGGCCUCGCGUCCGAUUAGCUGGUUGGUGAGGUAACGGCCCACCAAGGCGACGAUCGGUAGCCGGACUGAGAGGUUGAACGGCCACAUUGGGACUGAGACACGGCCCAGACUCCUACGGGAGGCAGCAGUGGGGAAUAUUGCACAAUGGGGGAAACCCUGAUGCAGCGGCGCCGCGUGGAGGAAGAAGGUCUUCGGAUUGUAAACUCCUGUUGUUGAGGAAGAUAAUGACGGUACUCAACAAGGAAGUGACGGCUAACUACGUGCCAGCAGCCGCGGUAAAACGUAGGUCACAAGCGUUGUCCGGAAUUACUGGGUGUAAAGGGAGCGCAGGCGGGAAAGCAAGUUGGAAGUGAAAUCCAUGGGCUCAACCCAUGAACUGCUUUCAAAACUGUUUUUCUUGAGUAGUGCAGAGGUAGGCGGAAUUCCCGGUGUAGCGGUGGAAUGCGUAGAUAUCGGGAGGAACACCAGUGGCGAAGGCGGCCUACUGGGCACCAACUGACGCUGAGGCUCGAAAGUGUGGGUAGCANACAGG